rnacentral:rRNA from 1 species
AGUCGAGCGACAGAUGAGAAGCUUGCUUCUCUGAUGUUAGCGGCGGGCGGGUGAGUAACACGUGGGUAACCUACCUAUAGGACUGGGAUAACUCCGGGAAACCGGGGCUAAUACCGGAUAAUAUUUUGAACCGCAUGGCUCAAUAGUGAAAGACGGUUUCGGCUGUCACUUAUAGAUGGACCCGCGCCGUAUUAGCUAGUUGGUAAGGUAACGGCUUACCAAGGCGACGAUACGUAGCCGACCUGAGAGGGUGAUCGGCCACACUGGAACUGAGACACGGUCCAGACUCCUACGGGAGGCAGCAGUAGGGAAUCUUCCGCAAUGGGCGAAAGCCUGACGGAGCAACGCCCCGUGAGUGAUGAAGGUCUUCGGAUCGUAAAACUCUGUUGUUAGGGAAGAACAAAUUUGUUAGUAACUGAACAAGUCUUGACGGUACCUAACCAGAAAGCCACGGCUAACUACGUGCCAGCAGCCGCGGUAAUACGUAGGUGGCAAGCGUUAUCCGGAAUUAUUGGGCGUAAAGCGCGCGUAGGCGGUUUCUUAAGUCUGAUGUGAAAGCCCACGG